CACGUAGGGCGCAAGCGUUGUCCGGAAUUAUUGGGCGUAAAGAGCUCGUAGGCGGGCUGUUGCGUCCGCUGUGAAAACUCGGGGCUUAACCCCGAGCCUGCAGUGGAUACGGGCAGACUAGAGGUAGGUAGGGGAGAAUGGAAUUCCCGGUGUAGCGGUGAAAUGCGCAGAUAUCGGGAGGAACACCGGUGGCGAAGGCGGUUCUCUGGGCCUUACCUGACGCUGAGGAGCGAAAGCGUGGGGAGCGAACAGG
rnacentral:rRNA from 1 species